rnacentral:misc_RNA from 1 species
GAUGAAGAACGUAGCGAAACGCGAUAAGUAAUGUGAAUUGCAGAAUUCAGUGAAUCAUCGAAUCUUUGAACGCACAUUGCGCCCGCCAGCAUUCUGGCGGGCAUGCCUGUUCGAGCGUCAUUUCAACCCUCGAGCCCCCCCGGGGGCCUCGGUGUUGGGGGACGGCACACCAGCCGCCCCCGAAAUGCAGUGGCGACCCCGCCGCAGCCUCCCCUGCGUAGUAGCACACACCUCGCACCGGAGCGCGGAGGCGGUCACGCCGUAAAACGCCCAACUUUCUUAGAGUUGACCUCGGAUCAGGUAGGAAUACCCGCUGAACUUAAGCAUAUCAAUAAGCGGGGA